rnacentral:rRNA from 1 species
AUUGAAGUCAGUCGUACCGACGAGAAAUCAACUUAUCGUGUGCGAACUUGUGGGCGUGCGUGAGUUUCGGCCUCGCUGUUUGCAUGUUUGUGCGUUUUGGGUGUACUUUUUCAUAUGGUAGGCCAACAUCAGUUUCGAUUACUAUAAAAUGACUGGCGGAAUGUAGCUUCGAUUUCGGUUGAAGUGUUAUAGCCUCUGGUAGAUGUGGUGAUUGGAACUGAGGAUUGCAACGAAUAUCCUUUGGGCUAUCCGUCUGAUCUCUGAAAGUUGCUCAGGUGCCGUAAGCAUGCUUACGGUCAUCUAAGUUGACGGUCAAAAGGUUAGAACGUGAUUACAUUCGUUAAGGAUGUUGACGUA